CCUACGGGAGGCAGCAGUGGGGAAUAUUGCACAAUGGGCGAAAGCCUGAUGCAGCAACGCCGCGUGAGCGAGGAAGGCCUUCGGGGCGUAAAGCUCUGUCCUCAAGGAAGAUAAUGACGGUACUUGAGGAGGAAGCCCCGGCUAACUACGUGCCAGCAGCCGCGGUAAUACGUAGGGGGCUAGCGUUAUCAGGAAUUACUGGGCGUAAAGGGUGCGUAGGUGGUUUCUUAAGUCAGAGGUGAAAGGCUACGGCUCAACCGUAGUAAGCCUUUGAAACUGGGAAACUUGAGUGCAGGAGAGGAGAGUGGAAUUCCUAGUGUAGCGGUGAAAUGCGUAGAUAUUAGGAGGAACACCAGUUGCGAAGGCGGCUCUCUGGACUGUAACUGACACUGAGGCACGAAAGCGUGGGGAGCAAACAGGAUUAGAUACCCCAGUAGUC
rnacentral:rRNA from 1 species